CUGGCACAGCUGUUGUAGGUCUGUCUAAGUGAAUUCUUCUCAGGAAUGAUCUUCCUAGGGGGCUCAUCAUUAUUACAGUCUUCUCUCUCAGAGGAGUUCAUGAACUUCAGGGCCUUCUCCUGCAGCACGGCCUCGGCCGGGUCCAUAGCCAUGCGCGGGGCUGCGGCCGCCCCUCCUCGCAGUGCCAGGCCGCAGCGAGCGCC
rnacentral:lncRNA from 1 species